rnacentral:rRNA from 1 species
AGCGUAGACGGUGUGGCAAGUCUGAUGUGAAAGGCAUGGGCUCAACCUGUGGACUGCAUUGGAAACUGUCAUGCUUGAGUGCCGGAGGGGUAAGCGGAAUUCCUAGUGUAGCGGUGAAAUGCGUAGAUAUUAGGAGGAACACCAGUGGCGAAGGCGGAUUGCUGGACGACAACUGACGGUGAGGCGCGAAAGCGUGGGAGCGAACA